UGCAGUCCACGGCAGCACGGACUUCGGUCUGGUGGCGAGUGGCGAACGGGUGAGUAAUACAUCGGAACGUGCCUGGUACUGGGGGAUAACUACUCGAAAGAGUGGCUAAUACCACAUGAGAUCUACCGAUGAAAGCAGGGGAUCGCAAGACCUUGUGCUACUACAGCGGCCGAUGGCACAUUAGGUAGUUGGUGGGAUAAAACCUUACCAAGCCAACGAUCUGUAGCUGGUCUGAGACGACGAUCAGCCACACUGAGACUGAUACACGGACCAGACUCCUACCGGAGGCAGCAGUGCGGAAUUUUGGACAAUGGGCGAAAGCCUGAUCCCCCAAUGCCGCGGGCAGGAAGAACGCCUUCUCGUUGUCAACUGCUUUUGUACUGAACGAAGAGCUUUGGGUUAAUACCCUGUACUCAUGACCGUACGGUAAGAAUAGCCACCGGCGAACUACUUGCCCCCAGCCGCGAUAAUACGUACGGAGCACGCGUUUGUCGCAAUUGCUGGGCGGAACGCGUGCGCACGCUCUUCUGUCAGACAGAGGUGAAAUCCCCGGGCUCAGCCUGUGAAGUGCCUUUGUGACUGCCAGGCUAGAUACAGCAGAGGGGAUGGAAUCCUCGUGUACAUUGAUUGCGUACAAUCCUGAGGAACACCGAUCGCGGAGGCCAUCUUCUGGCGCUGUACUGACUCUCGUGUACAAGAGCAUGCGGAGACCACAUGAUCUCAUUCCCUGCUAGUACACGCCCGGUAUCAUGUCCACUGGUGUCUUCCGUCCUCAUUGACUCGAACACCAGCUAACGCGUGAGGAUGACCUUCGGCGAGUAGGCCGCCAGGUAUAACUCAAUGACUGAACGC
rnacentral:rRNA from 1 species